AGCGAACGCUGGCGGCAGGCUUAACACAUGCAAGUCGAACGGGCACUUCGGUGUCAGUGGCAGACGGGUGAGUAACGCGUGGGAACAUACCUCUUGGUUCGGAACAACACAGGGAAACUUGUGCUAAUACCGGAUAAGCCCUUACGGGGAAAGAUUAUCGCCGAGAGAUUGGCCCCGCGUCUGAUUAGCUAGUUGGUGUGGUAAAAGCGCACCAAGGCGACGAUCAGUAGCUGGCUGAGAGGAUGAUCAGCCACCAUUGGGACGUGAGACACGGCCCAAACUACCUACGGGAGGCAGCAGUGGGAAUAUUGGACAAUGGGCGCAAGCCUGAUCCAGCCAUGCCGCGUGAGUGAUGAAGGCCCUAGGGUUGUAAGGC
rnacentral:rRNA from 1 species